UGUCGUCAAAGCAACUAUAACUGAAGUAGUAUUACGAAAAAGUCGGAACUACAUAUCAUGUUCGAGUUGCUCUAAAAAAGUAACAAAAUCAUCAACCUCUCUUAUAUGCUCAAACAAAAAGUGUGGUAAAACACCAGCCAUUGGAGUACUAAGAUUUAGAAUUGAAGUAAUAGUGGAUGAUGGAGAUGCCUCAGCAACUUUUGUUAUAUUUGAUAAAGAUGCAGAAAAAAUCACCGGAACAACUGCAGAAAUCAUAAAAAGUAAUUUGGGCGAACAAGAGUUAGAAGAAGUUCCCACAUGUGUGAAAUCAAUAGUUGGAAAUACAUAUUUAUUCGAGA